ensembl:lncRNA
ACAAAAGUCUGACUCAAACGUCGACUAUCAAAAACGUCAGAAUCCGGGGUAUAGGAAGGCUGGUCAGGUGGUGGUGGUGGUGGUGGGGUAUAGGAAGGCUGGUCAGGUGGUGGUGGUGGUGGUGGUGGUGGGGUAUAGGAAGGCAGGUCAGGUGGUGGUGGUGGUGGGGUAUAGGAAGGCAGGUCAGGUGGUGGUGGUGGGGUAUAGGAAGGCUGGUCAGGGGGUGGUGGUGGGGUAUAGGAAGGCAGGUCAGGUGGUGGUGGUGUAUAGGAAGGCUGGUCAGGUGGUGGUGGUGGUGGGGUAUAGGAAGGCAGGUCAGGUGGUGGUGGUGGUGGUGGUGGUGGGGUAUAGGAAGGCAGGUCAGGUGGUGGUGGUGGUAGGGUAUAGGAAGGCAGGUCAGGUGGUGGUGGUGGUGGGGUAUAGGAAGGCAGGUCAGGUGGUGGUGGUGGGUAUCUUCAUCAAGCAACGGUGUAAAAGAUGUUUUAAGGCUGCUCAUAAUAGGCCUAUAGGAGAGAGGUAUUUUCCGACAUUGUGAUAUAAUGUGGGGGUUUAGGAAGCCAUGGUGCUUUGAAACGUUCUACUUUAGCCCCGCCUUUUUAUUGCUGCAUAGA